GUUUCAGGCAAAGGCUCAGAAACAAGUGGUAAAAUAACAGAAUUUUGGAAAUCAUAAACAUUUGCAACUUACAAAAAAACUUUGAGGACGAUGAUAUCUACUUACCGCUUAGCAGAUGAGAAAACGGAGACACAGAUAAAUUAAAUGUGUUGCUCUGAGUCCUAAGGCUACUAAGGGGCCACUCAGCCCAAAACUUGGCUUUCAAUUCCACUCUGGGACUCUGUACACUGUUCUUGUUGCUAUUAUACUGCCCAGAGAAUGGGAUGUUUCUGUUUAUUAAAUAAAAGUCCUUAAGUAUACAAACAUAGAAGGACUACAUUCCUAAUUCGCAAAAAGGGGGAACAAAGUUACAUAGAAUCCUAAAACUACCCUGAACAAAGCUGAAGUUGCUAGGAUCUUACAGAAGAUUCAUCCAGGUCCAGCCUUCGAGGUGAUUACAGGUCUCCAGUAGUCUGUCUACAUCUUUCUCAGAUCCCCGUCUUCAGAGACCAAGUUUACUACUUAAUGACUGAACAUUUUAUCCGCAAAACCCCUGAUCCACUGACUUACUGUGCUAAUAAAACUUACUUCCAUAAUA